rnacentral:tRNA from 1 species
GCCGGGGUGGCGGAAUGGUAGACGCGGCGGUCUCAAACACCGUUGGUAGUGAUAUCGUGCGGGUUCGAGUCCCGCCCCCGGCA